GUUCUUUUUAUGGAUAUAUGAGAACACCUUGGCAUUUUUUGUAAAAAUAUGAAUAUUGGGGUAUUUUACGGUCUUAGCUGGAAUUUGUGCCUCAUUCCACCUGCCUGGCAACUCUGUAUAUCAUCCAUAUCGCUCAAGGGUGAAGGCAACCGACAGCCCUUUGAGAAAUUCCAUGGUAAUAAUCUAUUUAGUUACUUAGUAAUUUACAGUUCUUGCGCGAAAUAAAAUGUACCAUUG